ACCUCUUCCGGAGAAUGUGGCCUGGAUUCAGUCACCCUGAAUCCUUGAUAUUGCCUUGCUAAUAAACUCAAGGAUUAUUUUCAUGGCGCUGUGUAAACAUUUUAUGAACUAUUUGUUGAAUGCUGAACAUGUCAAAUUGCAUUUGUUUAAAAAAACUAAAACAAGUUUGAAUUAAAUUAAAUGAGUAAAUGAAAAGAAUUCAACCUAAAGUUAAGGACAAAUGAUGGAGUCCAGCCCGUGUGUGUGGUGCGCGGCCUGUUUGUGGUAUCCAUGGUAACGUCAGUGAUGUCACGGUCUCUCCACUCAGACCGCCGCUGCACCAAGUUCUACAACCCGCUCAGAGAGGGGGCGGAGCUACAGAAGAUCUGCAGCAAUGACACCUGUCAUUGUGCUGAGGGUACACCUACACCCUGGGGAAGAGGAGCUGGGUGGAGCGGUGGCCCUCCGAGGCUGAAUGCGGGGGCGACGUGGGACUCGCCAAGAGGUGCGCCCAGCUGGCUGCGGUUAUCUCUGUCCUUAUGGAGAAGGGCUGCCUGUCCUGAGUGACUAAAACUAUGCGGCUUUGCCAAAAUUAUAGAGCCCCGUCCCUGGAUUCAUGGGACCCCGGCAUACCUCAGACCAUUGUACCAUUCCGCAGUGUAAAUACACACAUUGCCAUGCACUGAAAACUAUACCAUAGUAUACUGAAUAGUGAAUGUGAUUGUGUGGCUCUCCAAAUAUGUUUUCCAUUACAUGCCAAUAUUACUACAUGCCAUGUUUGAUUCAGAAGACAUUCUCUAUCAGUUAUAUUGAUAUGCAUCCCACUGAGAGAAAGGUGGCUACAAUUGUAUUUAUGCAUUUCCUAAUGUGACAAUAAAACAUAGUUCAAUGCAA